rnacentral:rRNA from 1 species
GUGAGGAAUAUUGCGCAAUGGACGAAAGUCUGACGCAGCCAUGCCGCGUGAAGGAUUGACGGCCCUAUGGGUUGUAAACUUCUUUUGUAUAGGAAUAAACCCUCGUUCGUGAACGAGGCUGAAGGUACUAUAAGAAUAAGCACCGGCUAACUCCGUGCCAGCAGCCGCGGUAAUACGGAGGGUGCAAGCGUUAUCCGGAUUUAUUGGGUUUAAAGGGUCCGUAGGCGGAUCGUUAAGUCAGUGGUGAAAUCCUACCGCUCAACGGUAGAACUGCCAGUGAUACUGGCGAUCUUGAGUAUGUAUGAAGUUGGCGGAAUGUGUGGUGUAGCGGUGAAAUGCUUAGAUAUCACACAGAACACCGAUUGCGAAGGCAGCUGACUAAGGCGAUACUGACGCUGAGGCACGAAAGCGUGGGGAUCGAACAGGAUUAGAUACCCCGGUAGUCC